CAUUCAACUGUAAAUCAGUUUUACCUCCCCACUGGUCUUUUACAAUCGAUCGUCUACCCAUACAGACAUUUUUUACUACCCAAGUUAUACGUAAUUUUCGCAUACAGACAGAUAAAUUUUGGUGCCGAACUGUAAAUUCAGCAUUUGGGUAUGCGUUUUGGCUAAACGUACCCAAAGUGGUAAAAUUAUCUAUCUGCAUCACCGAUAAAAUAAUGUGUGCGACGCGCAUACCGACUGAAAUUCGGCAAAACUUAGGCGUUCGCGAACGAUCUUUUCGGUAGAUAAAUUAAAUGGAUGUGAUUUUCGUUACGAAAUUUACAGCAGUUGUAUUCUGGCAACAUAAUAAUUCAGAUUCAAGUUUAGUUUCAAGUGAGAAUGUGAAAAAUUUUCUGUGACCACCCAAGUUAUGCUGAGUUUUGCGUAGUCUGAGAUGGCGCUUCCAUCGCAGACGGGAGAUACGCAAGAAGCGUUUAGACACGCUUCCGCGUUGUGUGUGCGGUUAAGUAGGUGGAGUGGAUCAAGUGGAAUUUUUUGCAUUUUUCAUCAGAGAAUAAAGGUUCGUGGGCAAGAAUACGGAUCCAUCUGGCGAAAUGAGUUUUGCGAUUGUCUCAUCGGACCGCACCCUCUGAUUGAGUGAAAUCAUUUUACUAUGAUUUAUUGAAGGACCUUAGUUGCCAUGCUAUGCCGACAAUGAUUCGUAAUCUUGCACGUUGCACUUCCUUUGAACCGUUCCAGCUUACUGCGCUGACCAUUGACUCUUAUCUUUCAAACCACGCCUUCGUUUAAGCCAAAUAUCCAUGAUUUUCUGAAAGCUUCUGUUUCGAUCAGACUUAAGCUAACUAUGCUAAGCCACAACUCAUCUUCUGCUUGAAUUCUUCCAAAGGGCUAUCUACGACAUCAAGGGAGAUGAAACUACAAAGAGUAGUAGCAGGGUGGAAAGAAGAAAGUCAGCAAAAGGAGUGUUGUUCAAAAAUCCACCAAUGAUUUCUCCACAAUUCAAAACGUUAAUGCGGGAUUUUGAUAAUUAUCGGAGCUUGUGGGGUAUUUAGAUUAUAGGGUAUUUUGAGCAU
rnacentral:lncRNA from 1 species